rnacentral:rRNA from 1 species
ACCCUCUGUGCACGUUUGGCUUUAGAUCGAGCGGCGGCGCUCCCGAAGUCCCGAUCCAAUCGGGACAUGUAGGACGACGGCAGCAGGGCUCCGGAAAGUCCCCGGAAAGUGGGGAACGGCGGGGAGGCGGGGAACGGCGGGGAAGCGGCGGACGUCGCGGCGAGGCGGAUCAGGUCAGGAUCCAGCGCGGCGGCCGGCGCUCCAUGGCUGUGGCGCCUCGAUCUCGUGGGAAGAAGAGACGUGGGAGAGAGAGGAGGUGAGAUGGGGAGAAGAGAAGGCAGAGUAAGGACGGCGCGGAUUCCGGCGGUGGCUCCGGUUGGCGGAUCCAGGCCAACUCUUGAUGGAUUUCCAAUGUGCUGGUGGCCUCCGAAUUUUUUUUGUCGUGUAGCCGCUCCCCAUCUCAGCGUGUGCUAUCCACGGAAGCCGGCUCCUCCACUCAGGCCCUCCUCUGCAAACGCCGACGAGGACGCUACUUCAUCUGAACCGAUCUUCACGACCACGUGCAGGGAUGUAGGAUGAUUGGGUGAACAAGCUUCCUGUGAAACAUCCAGAUCCCGGUGGCGGUGCCUCCAUUCAGCAUCCCACGUGGCGACGUCCUCCGGUAUAAUGGCAAACACCGGCAGGGGAGAGAGCAGAGCGGGAGGGGUAUUGGGUUAAACAGAGUUGUGGGCAUUGCCCGUGCCAUGAUUGUGGUUAAUACCCACAGGAGAUUCUAUUCCUGUGAGCGGAUUAAACAGAGUUGAGUAAACAUCAUCCAUAGGAGGAUACAUGUGCUAAUUAAGUUUAGAGGAGAAAGUGGUUCUUUAUUCUUGCAAUUUUGGUGCAGAUGUCAUACAGGGGCAGAGAACAAUGGUCUUCUGGGAAUGCCUGUUAACUUUUUGGAGCUGCCAGGUAAAUUUUGGUACGAAUUUAUGUUAGUUCUACCUUUCCAUGAUGUUUAAUUGCUUGGUUCUUAAGGGUUUGUAAGAGGAGAUGGAUUUUGGACUACUCUAUUUCGGAUGCCACAGAUUUGCAGAUGAAAAAUAAAAGAGUGUGCAUGGUGUUUUUUUUCUUACAGAAUACUUUUAUAUGCCAUGUUCUAUUUUGCUUCAGAUUUAGGACUAUUUGGUCUGCUACAAAAUCCAUGUUUUCAACUGCAAAAUUUCAGUUUUAUUAUUAUCAUGUUUACUAUUUUUCGGUAGUAAUAUAUAACACGUCGCUGGUGAAAAGCCUACUGGAAAGAUUAAUUAGUCAAUAAUGUUGUCUUAAGAACAAUAGUAUUUGGCUCGAAGUAUAGGGACUGUCAAUUUUUUUAUGCUCCAGAAAAUACAAUUGCAAGGUACAGAAUAGUUGCCACUUAGUUUGGAUUUUAGUUAAAAGUGUAGACAUGUUAGUAACACUAUAAAGUUGGACAAUAAAUGAAGUCGACUACAUCCGAGCGAACUUAUCUUGCUUCCAAGAAGAGUAAAAUCAUCUUUAAUAAUUUCCUGGGUUUUGCUUAUGUUCAUGUUUGGAAUGUCGUUUCCUCCAAAAUGCAGCAUUUACCUAUCAUUUGGAGUACAAGAUGCAUUUUUUAUCAGUUGCUGACUAAGAAAACACUUUUCUGAUAAAAACGCUACCCUUCAGUUAGACUUAAUUAAUUGCCUUCUAGACAUGUUGGGGAACGUAGUAAUUUCAAAAAAUUUCCUACGCACACGCAAGAUCAUGGUGAUGCAUAGCAACGAGAGGGGAGAGUGUGAUCUA